rnacentral:rRNA from 1 species
ACUGAACGCUGGCGGCAGGCCUAACACAUGCAAGUCGGACGGUAGCACAGAGAGCUUGCUCUUGGGUGACGAGUGGCGGACGGGUGAGUAAUGUCUGGGGAUCUGCCCGAUAGAGGGGGAUAACCACUGGAAACGGUGGCUAAUACCGCAUAACGUCGCAAGACCAAAGAGGGGGACCUUCGGGCCUCUCACUAUCGGAUGAACCCAGAUGGGAUUAGCUAGUAGGCGGGGUAAUGGCCCACCUAGGCGACGAUCCCUAGCUGGUCUGAGAGGAUGCACAGCCACACUGGAAAUGGGACACGGUCCAGACGCCUACGGGAGGCAGCAGUGGGGAAUAUUGCACAAUGGGCGCAAGCCUGAUGCAGCCAUGCCGCGUGUAUGAAGAAGGCCUUCGGGUUGUAAAGUACUUUCAGCGGGGAGGAAGGCGGUACGGUUAAUAACCGUACCGAUUGACGUUACCCGCAGAAGAAGCACCGGCUAACUCCGUGCCAGCCGCCGCAGUAA